GUUCCCUGAAGUUGACCUAAAGGGUUCCUGGUUCCCUAGGAGUUGCCUAUGGGAGGCAACUACGCAGGGUUCCAUUCUUCUUGUUCUGAUGCCAAUCUCUCUUAGGAGAGUAGUCGUUGCAACCAUCUACCUCAUGUGAAUGGAACACAUGGUCGUCAGUGAUCUCAUGGCCCAUCACCCAUGCCAUCAAUCUACCUUCAGAAGUGCAGACUUAUCUCUGGAGUGUCAGUGUGUUCUGAGAUUGGGAUAAAAACCAGACUGACCACAAACAAGAAGUCGCUUUCUCCCUGAUUGUGCCAAUAGGACACGACUUCUGCUUGGGGACUACAGCAGCUAGGCAUGGCUCAGAUAUGGCUGCUUCCUUCCUGUGUUUUCCUCUGCUUCCCAGCAGGAGCAGAUGCCUUGAUAUGCCACAGCUGUAUCUCUUUGAGUCAAGGGGAGCCAUCCCAUCGCCCCAGAAGGAAGUGCAAAGCCUAGAGGGACAAGGAGGUCUGCUUCACUUUAAAAGCUUAUGUGGAUAACCACGUGGAAAAACUAAUACGAGGCUGUACAGUGAAAGAAAACAAGAAAUGUGGAGGAAAGUGGACAGAUCCAAGUACUCAAAUGGAACAUGAGUUUAUCUGCUGUUCUGAUCGAAACAAUUGGGCCAGUUAGUCCAUGGGAGAAGAUGUAUCUACUUUGGGUUGCUGCCAGCUGUUGUGUGCGUCUGUUGUUUUACUGAUUUGUUGGUUAAAGUCAAGACCAAAUUUAUUUAAACGCAGGAGUGAGAAGGCAAUGGGCAUAAGGAAAUGUUAACUUCCUUACAAAAAAAGAGCUUCUUUUCCUUCCUUUUGCUCUUUAUUAUAUAUUUAACAUAAUAAAUUGCUUAAAUAACAGUAAAAAAAAUAGAAAGUUAGGGUAUAUGAAGCUGACUUAUUCCAGAUCAGAUCAUUGGUCCAUCUAGCUCAGUAUUGUCCACACUGACUGGCAGCGGCUCUCCAGGGUUUCAGACAAGGAGUCUCUCUUAGCCCUACCCGGAGAUGCCGGGGAUUGAACCGGGGACCUUCUGCAUGCAAAGCUCUGCCACUGACCUACAGCCCUUCUGUAAGUAGCUACCAAGCAAGUAUUGGGAGGAGGGAAUAAAGAUGUGCAAAUCAUCAACACUUUUUUAUGUCUACUUGACAGCUCUGUGUCUAUGUGCAGAUUGAAAGUAUGCAACAUAAAUUCAUUUUAACACUCAAUUACCUUUAAUCAGGCUGCCGUUCUCAUAAUCCGGAUGGUGAAAUGGUAUAGGAUUUUCUUCUGUGGAUGCUUUUGGGCAGAGUUGUGCAUUCUGGAAUUUGUAUCCCACAGUUUAUUUAUGUUUUCAGGACACCCCUUCCACCUGCCGGACACUUUUGGUGAAACAGAAUGAGAUGCAGAACUGACUUCCCCUGUUUUAAAUACAUGAAAUGCAUUAUGUAUAGCAGGUGUGAGGAACCUUUGGCCCGCCAGAUGUUGCUGAAGUCCCGCUCCCACAAUCCCUGGCCAUUGGCUAUGCUUGCUGGGACUGAUGGGAGUUGUAGUUUAGCA